rnacentral:lncRNA from 1 species
CAAAGAAAAAGGAAAAGGAAAAGGAAAAGAACCUCAGUACAUACCUGCAAAAUCUAGGGACAAAUUCCAGUGGACUGAUAUGAGGAUGACGGUAGGGAGUGGUGGAGAUGGGCUCAGCGGGUGGCACACUUGCGACACUGGAAAAGCUUAGACAAAGCCCGGAGAUGGCCUUCCAGAUCCUCGUCCGUCAGUAGGUUACACACUCAGAUUCUUGCGCGACUUGGAGGUUGCUGAAGUGGAGCUGGCGGAAGUGGUGGAGAUGGAGCUACUGCGCAGCGAUGGCAGUGGCGGAAGUGGGAGGAAGUGGUGGAGAUGGAGAUAGCAGUAGCAGCAAUGGAAAGCAAGCCGAAAUGGGAGGAAGUGGAGACUGGAGAGGGAGCUAGCAGUAGCAGCGAUGGCAGUGGGAGUUUGGGACAGUCGGUCGGCGGCGGAGAGAAGUUAACCUAAUCGAAGGAAGGAGG